GUUGACGAAAAUUCAAACGUUAGGGUCACAAAUUGAUUAUGUGACGUUUGUAAAUCUAAUGUCACAAGGUUAUGACCCUGGAUUUUAGUGUCAUGUAGGUUUAUAACUUUGGUUUGUUGUCACAAAAUCUUAGGCCUUGCCACAUGGGCAAAUGCCUAGGAUCAAAAGCUGACAUGACAAGGGAAAAAAAAGUCACAAAAUGAAUUUUGACCUGCUAAAGCCCACAUAGCAAGCAGUCUCUUCAUGGGCCACAAGCUUGUUUCGAUUGAUAUUGCCUGGCCCAUUAUUUUAUUUUCGUUUUUCGGCCUAUUUUUCCAGCCCACACAAUUUCAGCCCAUCCAAUUUUUUCAGCUUGUAUAUUUCAGCCCAUAUAUUCUUUUCAGGCCACAUAUUUCAGCCCAUACACUUAUUCAAAUGAAAUACAUAUACAUUACAUCCAUCAUAUUUUUAAAUGAAAUACAUUACAUCCAUCAGAUUCAAAUGAAUCAACAUCACCACAUAUGAUUGCAAUAUCACAAGCAUUCCACAAGUCUUAAAAUGCAAUACAUAUACCUUACAUCCAUCCACCAAUUCAACAUACGUCUAGUCUCAAAGUCUCAAAUUUUAACUUGCUG
rnacentral:lncRNA from 1 species